AGGGAAACGACAGCCCCCGCUUUCGCUAUCCAGCUCAUGUGAGCCGCUCUCGGGAACAACGCAACCUUAUCGACCGCACCAGCUCGGGAGGGAGACGAGCCCCGCAAGGGAGUUCUGCAGGGUGGUGAUUUCUUUUGAGAUUCCUUGUCUCGGCUGGGCUUUUCCAGGGCAAAAGCUGAGGGGUUUUGGCAGUAGUGGUGGAUUGCAGAGCUCGUGUAAGCUUUCGGGGAAGAGAAGCCGGCUUGUUUGUUGGACGCAUGGUGGUGAUGCUACCUGUGAAUCGUGGCUCUCAGAAUAUGAUCUUUGUGAUGAUUUAGUCAUUGGAUGCGUCGUUUUUGUUCGGGGCUUUUGAUUUACUUCUCGCAGGUCCAAGAGCAGGGUAAAGGUGCCAUCUUUUUGUUUGUAGUAUUUACUAGAUUGGUGGUGUUCGAUUUGAGUUUUGAACGGAGGUCGGAGAUUGAUUUGAGCGAUAAAUUUCCUUGUUUUUCUCCCUGUAAUUUUCCCCUGCUUUUAUCGUAAUGGGUGUUGCAUUUGUUUCAGGGAUGACUGUGUUCUGAAUCUCCACCGAUAGCUAGCUGUACCUUCUUAAUACGCUCGCCUUCCCUUUGUAAGCUCAGAAUUGUUGUGUUUGUAGUUCCUUUUGGCUGGAAGGUCUGUCGACGAUAGGCUUGAUCGAGACCAGACUUUGUAGAGAUUACUGCGAAAAAAGAUGCGACCUUUGAGCAGUCUGGGCAUCGGUUUGAGCCUGGUCUCCGGUUGCCUGUUCUUGGCUCUUGUUGCAGAGCUAUACUAUCUGCUUUGGUGGAAGAAGAGGAGUAGCAGAGAGGUCGACCACGAUUCCAGAAGCCCAGCCGGGGAGCUGCUUUAUCUCUGCUGCUGGAGGAAGCCAUCUUCCCUGAGUUCCACAGCGCUCAACCCCCGAGACAUGACCACCUCGGUGGAUGCAGCUGCUUAUUCCGACGAGGGACAACUGCAGCUCCGCUCCGACUCCUCCAGCAAAGAUCUUCUUUUGAAGGCAUUCGGAGGAGAGGACGGUAUGGAGGCAGAGCUCAUGAGGCUCCAUGGCCUCGCAGGCCCUCCCAGGUUUCUCUUCACCAUCAAAGAGGAAACGAAGGAGGAUUUGGAGUCAGAGGACGGGAGGUCGAGAGGGGGAAGGAGCAGGAAAAGUUCCAGAGGGAAGAGCUUGAGCGAGCUGUUUGUUUCUUCGGAUACCCCAUUCUUGACACCUCUCUCUUCCCCUCCUCUCUUCACGCCGCCUCUGACUCCUUUGGAUUGCUACAAACAAAGUGGAUUCAACCCCCUCUUUGAGUCCACAAAGGAAGAAGACUUCAUCAAGGUGUGGUCCUCGCCGCCUCCAAAGUUCAAGUUUCUGAAGGACGCCGAGGAAAAAUUACACAGGAAGAAACUGAUGGAAGAAGCAGGCAAGGUUCACAGGAAUGGUGGGCUGGUUAACAGCACCGCGAGACAGGAGAGUCAUGUUUCUUCUCAUCCGCCUGGUGUCGCCGCCUCACAUCCCACGGGCCCAGAAGAAGAGGAUGGAUCCUUCAUCACCAUAGUGAUAGGAAAGAACAGAGAGAGAGGGCAGCAGCACCAUUCAAGUUCCUCGCAGGUGAUUCCAUUACCUUCUUCUCCUUCGAGCUUCAGACCAGUGCAAGGGAAACGAAGUUCCUCGAUUUGACAAUUGAGUCCUCAUCAACAACCAUACUUUCACAUGCAGUCGGCGAAUUCGGUGACAAGAUAACCUUUUUUUGUUGCUGUUGUUGUUUGAUUUCUCCACUUGUACUUAGUUUCGUUGUCUUUGCUUCAAUUCCUUGAUUCUGAAAAGGGAGCUGUGGGGGGGGGGGUGGAAGUCAUCAAAACACCUCUUUUCUUGUGAUCCAAUUGACGUUUGAUAUCUGGCCAGUUGCCGAGCACCAGAAAGCUGCACCUUUUCUAUCUGCAUGUCUUUGAGUGCCUGAACUUGUAAUCAUUCCUGUGGUUUGCAGAGAGUUUUGCUAACUCAAUGGCGAUCUUUUUUGUCUGCCAUUGUUGCUCGAUGAAAUCGCUCGACGAAGAGGGAGACUUCGCUCGACGCUAUUCCCCCAUCCCUAUCGAUGUAGAGAGGCUAUAGAUGAACAGGGCAGUGUUUCCCAGUGGAUGCAAGCUUGGUCGGAGAUCAAGGCGGACAUCGCGGAUAGAUUUGUACGCUAACAAUGCGAGCAGCUCGAGUCAUGUGGGCGUGAAGACGACCAUCGGCCGCACCGUUUGACUGCGUUUCUGAUGAGGGAGAUGCAAUGGCACACAAGUCAAAAGAAACAUGAUUUCCGUAUUCUGAAGUCGAGGAAUCCAAGGAGCCCUCAAAAAUAUGUAGGUGGCUCUGCUCGACAGCCUCUGUCUGUAUCCCUGCAACUAAGUUUCGAUGAUCGCUCGAUGUUACUACUCCAAGAACCAAACACCUGUUUCUCAUCAACUCAACGUGUGGUCCGUCAAUGAAUCCAAUAUAGUCCCACCUCUUAUCCA